CAGCCGCCACGGUAAUACGAAGGGUGCAAGCGUUAAUCGGAAUGACUGGGCGUAAAGGGCGCGUAGGCGGUUUUGACAGUCAGAUGUGAAAUUCCUGGGCUUAACCUGGGGGCUGCAUUUGAGACGUCAAGACUAGAGUGUGAGAGAGGGUUGUGGAAUUCCCAGUGUAGAGGUGAAAUUCGUAGAUAUUCGGAAGAACACCAGCGGCGAAGGCGGCUUACUGGCUCAUACUGGACGCUGAGGUGCGAAAGCGUGGGGAGCAAACAGGAUUAGAUACCCGCGUAGUCCCUGUCUCUUAUAC
rnacentral:rRNA from 1 species